GAUGAACGCUGGCGGCGUGCCUAAUACAUGCAAGUCGAGCGAAUGGAUUAAGAGCUUGCUCUUAUGAAGUUAGCGGCGGACGGGUGAGUAACACGUGGGUAACCUGCCCAUAAGACUGGGAUAACUCCGGGAAACCGGGGCUAAUACCGGAUAACAUUUUGAACCGCAUGGUUCGAAAUUGAAAGGCGGCUUCGGCUGUCACUUAUGGAUGGACCCGCGUCGCAUUAGCUAGUUGGUGAGGUAACGGCUCACCAAGACAACGAUGCGUAGCCGAACUGAGAGGGUGAUCGGCCACACUGGGACUGAGACACGGCCCAGACUCCUACGGGAGGCAGCAGUAGGGAAUCUUCCGCAAUGGACGAAAGUCUGACGGAGCAACGCCGCGUGAGUGAUGAAGGCUUUCGGGUCGUAAAACUCUGUUGUUAGGGAAGAACAAGUGCUAGUUGAAUAAGCUGGCACCUUGACGGUACCUAACCAGAAAGCCACGGCUAACUACGUGCCAGCAGCCGCAGUAA
rnacentral:rRNA from 1 species